GCUCAGAUUGAACGCUNCGGCAUGCUUUACACAUGCAAGUUGAACGGCAGCGGGGGCUUCGGCCUGCCGGCGAGUGGCGAACGGGUGAGUAAUGCAUCGGAACGUGCCCAUGUCGUGGGGGAUAACGUAUCGAAAGGUACGCUAAUACCGCAUACGUCCUGAGGGAGAAAGCGGGGGAUUCUUCGGAACCUCGCGCGAUUGGAGCGGCCGAUGUCGGAUUAGCUAGUAGGUGAGGUAAAGGCUCACCUAGGCGACGAUCCGUAGCGGGUCUGAGAGGAUGAUCCGCCACACUGGGACUGAGACACGGCCCAGACUCCUACGGGAGGCAGCAGUGGGGAAUUUUGGACAAUGGGGGCAACCCUGAUCCAGCCAUGCCGCGUGAGUGAAGAAGGCCUUCGGGUUGUAAAGCUCUUUCGGCCGGGAAGAAAUCGUGGUCUCUAACAUAGGCCAUGGAUG
rnacentral:rRNA from 1 species